rnacentral:rRNA from 1 species
UACGUAGGGUGCAAGCGUUAAUCGGAAUUACUGGGCGUAAAGCGCGUGUAGGCGGUUCGGUAAGUCCGCUGUGAAAGUCGGGGGCUCAACCCUCGGAUGCCGGUGGAUACUGUCGAGCUUGAGUACGGAAGAGGCGAGUGGAAUUCCUGGUGUAGCGGUGAAAUGCGCAGAUAUCAGGAGGAACACCAAUUGCGAAGGCAGCUCGCUGGGACGUUACUGACGCUGAGACGCGAAAGCGUGGGGAGCAAACAGG